rnacentral:rRNA from 1 species
UACAGAGGUCUCAAGCGUUGUUCGGAUUCAUUGGGCGUAAAGGGUGCGCAGGUGGCGGGGUAAGUCAGGUGUGAAAUCUCGAGGCUCAACCUCGAAACUGCACUUGAUACUGCCUCGCUCGAGUACUGGAGAGGAGAUUGGAAUUUACGGUGUAGCAGUGAAAUGCGUAGAUAUCGUAAGGAAGACCAGUGGCGAAGGCGAAUCUCUGGACAGUUCCUGACACUGAGGCACGAAGGCCAGGGGAGCAAACGGG